CGCGUAGGCGGAUUGUUAAGUCGGGGGUGAAAUCCCGGGGCUCAACCCCGGAACUGCCUCCGAUACUGGCAGUCUAGAGUUCGAGAGAGGUGAGUGGAAUUCCGAGUGUAGAGGUGAAAUUCGUAGAUAUUCGGAGGAACACCAGUGGCGAAGGCGGCUCACUGGCUCGAUACUGACGCUGAGGCGCGAAAGCGUGGGGAGCAAACAGGAUUAGAUACCCUGGUAGUCC
rnacentral:rRNA from 1 species